UAGGGUAUAACGAAAAAUGGUUAUCGUGCUUGCUUUGGGUGCAAGAAGUUACAGGUUCGAAUCCUGUUACCCUAA
rnacentral:tRNA from 1 species